rnacentral:rRNA from 1 species
AUGUAUGACAGUAUUGAAUCACGGCGAGAGACCCGAUCUACUUGGAUGUGUAGACCUGGGAGUUGGAACAAUUCACCAAGAGAAGCCAGUUCGUGUAUAACAGAAUGGGUGGAAUUUAUCAUGAGAUCCUACCCAAAUCCGAGUACUUCUCCAAGGCACUGUACACCUUCCAUUUCGCCCAAAACGAUCUCUCUGUGGGCUACUUCACCAAUAAGACUACCAAACAGAUUGAGGCCUAUGACCCCGAUCCUAAGGAGCGGUUCACUGUGGCAAUGUAGAAACUCCGCGGAAAGCUGCUGCAGAUAG